AACCCGUGAUGAGGACACUCUCUCUGAUAACCCUUGAACCUUUCCCAUGCAGCCUUGAAAGCUUCUGUAGGACCCUGAACGAACGUAAAGAUCUUAGCUUGUAGAU
rfam:Arabis alpina cultivar Pajares chromosome 3, whole genome shotgun sequence.